AUUGAACGCUGGCGGCAGGCUUAACACAUGCAAGUCGAACGAGUGGCGGACGGGUGAGUAAUGCUUGUGAAUCUCCCUCAUGGAUGGGGUUAACUAUGGGAAACUGUAGCUAAUACGGCGAACCAUAGGAUGAGCCGAAGUGGGAUGAGGUACUUGGUGAGGUAAAGGCUCACCAAGCCGACGAUCUCUAGCUGGUCUGAGAGGAUGACGAGGGAGACUGGGACGGAGACGCGGGCCAGACGCCUACGGGAGGCAGCAGUGGGGACAAUGGCGCAAUGGGGGCAAUGUGACGAAGCCAUGCCGGGUGAGUGAAGAAGGCGAUGGGGGUGUAAAGUUCUUUCGGUAGCGAGGCGUUAGCUACAGAAGAAGCACCGGCUAACUCCGUGCCAGCAGCCGCGGUAAUAC
rnacentral:rRNA from 1 species